rnacentral:rRNA from 1 species
GACGAACGCUGGCGGCGUGCCUAAUACAUGCAAGUUGAGCGCUGAAGGUUGGUACUUGUACCGACUGGAUGAGCAGCGAACGGGUGAGUAACGCGUGGGGAAUCUGCCUUUGAGCGGGGGACAACAUUUGGAAACGAAUGCUAAUACCGCAUAAAAACUUUAAACACAAGUUUUAAGUUUGAAAGAUGCAAUUGCAUCACUCAAAGAUGAUCCCGCGUUGUAUUAGCUAGUUGGUGAGGUAAAGGCUCACCAAGGCGAUGAUACAUAGCCGACCUGAGAGGGUGAUCGGCCACAUUGGGACGGAGACACGGCCCAAACUCCUACGGGAGGCAGCAGUAGGGAAUCUUCGGCAAUGGACGAAAGUCUGACCGAGCAACGCCGCGUGAGGGAAGAAGGUUUUCGGAUCGUAAAACUCUGUUGGUAGAGAAGAACGUUGGUGAGAGUGGAAAGCUCAUCAAGUGACGGUAACUACCCAGAAAGGGACGGCUAACUACGUG